ensembl:lncRNA
GGGGGCGUCGGACCCCAACACCACUCCUCGAAGCAUCCUCCGCCCCCAGGGGGCAGCGCGGGGCGCGGUGCUCCGGGACAUCCCCAUCCUCGGGGCCGCGUGGCCGCAGCCGCUGGAUGGCAGCAUGUCCCCGCCGAGAGACCGCCGGGGCAUCCGCCCUCCUCCCUCCUUCCCACCGGCAGCCAGGCGGGAGGCAGGGGUGGGGAGAAAUAAAAGAGACAAAAGUUAAGUGUUUUCCUUUGCCAAAGUCCUCCUUAAAAGCAGAAGGAAAAGAUAAUUGCUCUGGAUUGUAAACGCUCAGUGUUAAAUGUCACGAAACAAAAGAGCCAACAGGCGUAGCAGGUUUUGAAGCAUGGCAUCCCCGAAACGUCGGGUUGGGUUGCCCACGUCUGCCUCCAUCACCUUCAGCCCCUGGCCUUGUGUCAGGUGGGGGGUCCUGACACACAGACCCCUCUGCUGUGGCAAGCAGGGGCAAGGAAGGACUGAUUUUCUUCUAAAUUGCCCUACAGAGCUGAGAGUCACAAUUUGUUCUGUGGAAACACACCCUGGUUGUAAAAAUCCAGCAGACCCAAAUCAGUCUUGCAUGCUCCAGGCAAGAAAGAAGGAAGAGGACACACAGGCCUUUCUGUAACCUUUCCUCUUCCCCUUGCUCUUAGGCAGCCUGGGGCUGUCCAGAUCUCAGCGGCUUUGAGAAGAGAUUAGCCAGAACACUCUGGGCUGCAGCUGCAGCUUCCUCCAGCCCCAGCCUGCCUCCAGGCUUUCCCAUCCCAAUGGGAGCUAGGAGCAAAACUGCUCGACAUCAGCUCUAUCUGAGGUCACUGCAUCCUGCCAGAGAAAGACUGUGCUGGGCAGGACCCCCAGCCCCUCUCCUUAUCUGCAGUUGUCACCUUUUGCUCAGUGGUGACCGCAGCUCAACCUGUUCUCCCAGACCACACAGCAAACCUGCCUUGCUGUGGGCUGAUAGCAGCAGCCAGCAGGUCUUGGAUAUAUUUAUCUUGACCCUGCCCUUUAGAAAGGCAUUGAGAGGGUCAGCAUAUUCUUCCUUGCUCACACUCUUGCCAUGGCCAUCUCCUUACGGGAUUUUUCUGUCCACUUAGCUAGGUCAUCUUCUGUCUCCAAAGUGGCAGAAAGGGGCUUUAGUGCUGUUUGAAAUCCAACCCAAAUUAUCUUGUAAUUACCAUUUGUGCUUAUAACAACAUAAGGAAUGCACUCCUUUGCCCCUGGGCACCAGUCCAGCUUGCCCCUUGCUUCUUCAUCUGCUGCCAUCCUCCACUCUAUCAGAAGUGACUGCCAAAAGCAGGAUCACGAAGGAGCCAUCCUGAAUUCCCCCUUGAACUCUGAAGGCUGGGGGCUGGGUCCUAUGUCAGCUGCUUAAAUCCAAGGGCAUUAAACUCAGUUAGCUGCUGUCUCAGAGGGCAGAAUUGGGUGCGAUGGGAGCAGUGAAUCGCCCUGUUUUCUGCAGUGCUGGUACCUCCUCAUGAUCAACUAUCUGAUCCAUACAGUUCCCUGUUUGCCAUCUUGCACAGACAGACAAGUGCUGAAUGUAGGAAUGCCCACAUGGAUGUCAAUGUCUUGCAUCACUCAGGAGGUCAGAUCUGAUGGCCCUAAAUCUGCACAGUGUUUGGAAUGUGAUCCUUAGUUCAACGAGCUUGGAGGGCCUCACACACCUUUGCUGAGCCUGUAAUGUCUGUGUCUCAUGCUAGCAGUGAUGGAGUUGAUAAAAAUGGCCAAAUGCUGGCCUGAAUGAAGUGGUAUAAGUAACAGCACACAUGGAAAAAGCUGAUUGCUAGCUGUCAUCUGCAACCGAAUACAGACCUCCCCUUUGAUGCACGGUCAGUGCUAUCUGUGGUCAGAUGACAAGAAGGGGCUCACUGAUGGGCAUGUGGCCACUCAGAGGAGGAAAAAGUAAAUAAAUCACUGUAGCACUGGUGGGGCCAGGCCAGGACAGCUGAGCCCAUGGCUGAAGUAGGGCCGAUCAGAUAGCCCACAUGCUGGGAUACCCAGGUCCAGGUUGUGGACAGAGGUUGAGAAAGAGAGGGGCUGUGCAGUCAAUGCAGGAGGCACAGAGAUGCCAGGAGGCAGUGGUAGCUGCUGGAGGAGGAUUGGGUUGUGUGCAUUUUGCGCUUGGGGCAUCUCCCCAUCCCUGAAGACAUUCAAGGCCAGGCUGGAUGGGGCCCUGGGCAGCCUCAUCCGCUGGGUGGCAGCCCUGCUCACAGCAGGGCAGUGGAACCGAUUGUCUUUAAGGUCUCUUCCAACCUAAGCCAUUCCACGAUUCUGUGAUUCUAUGACACAUGAGUCUUGGCAGGCCCAGGAGGAGAGCUGGAUGCUGCCCUAUAAAUCCAUAUCUGAGUACGGUGGUUGGCUCUAGUGAAAACCUUCUCGGGUGUGGUUCAAACACUCUUCUCCCAUAAAAACACAAACACACUCAAAAAUGCUUCAUCUGGGUGCUCUGCUUUUCUUUUUGCCCCAAAAUGCCAGAAGUAGCCUCAAGGGGUAGUGAAAACUGAAAGGAAAACGUUGCAGCUUUUUAAAAAUACCAGCUGCAGUUUGGAGCAGCAGCUAAAAUCUAAUUACAGUGCACACCCGGCGGUGUAAGGUGCCUGUGUGCUUGUUAUAAAAAGCAGCUAUAAAAUCAAGGAAGAGUGAACAGAGGAGCAUGUUUGACUCCAGGACUGCAAGAUCCAACAUGCUCUCAGCCCAGCCAGGCAGCUUGCUGAACAAGGGAUAUUUGGAGUUUCGGUCUUCUCAGCACCCUCCUUGCAGUUGUUUCAAAUGAAAGACUUGUCACGAUUUUUAAGCUGUGAGACAUUUGCUAUUUAUGGAGGAUCCAUCUCUCUCUUCCCUGACCCGAGGUGGCCUCACAAAGUGCCAGCCUCAGCACUAAGUGGACCAUUUCUAUCCCAUGGCCCUGCCUCACUCGUGCCAACUGGGUUGGUAGGUGCAUUAUAAAUAGCUCUCCUAGAAAGGUGUAACAGAUAAAGGUUGACAUUUGCACUCCUAAGCUCCUCUGCUAUUAAAAUUUCUCAAAUUUUGCCUGAAGAGCUUGCUGAAGUCUCCCGUCUUCAGCACUGUGUUCUUAGAUAUCUGGAAAUCAGAGCAAAGAGUUGGCAGAAGUCUUUGCUAUAACAGCAGAUAAUACUGUAAAGGAUAAAAUAAAAGGCCAAGAAGAGGAAAGAAUGAAAACUAUGAAAAUACAAGACCACAAGGAUGUUGGAUGUUCAAGGUUUUCUGAAGCAGUGUUGUAUUUCUUAACUGUAAUGAAAAAAUCCUGAAGUGCAAUUCCUCCCUUUUUUCCUCUAAACUCUCUGGUUUUGGAUGAAAUAAAUGGCUGUGUGGAAUAAUUCUCCAAGAGUGUUUCAGAGCCUCAGUUAAAAUAUGAGAAUGGAAGUUCAUGUGGUAGGGCUUCAUUUUGCAGACAGGCAAACCGCUAGCAGCUUGAUUCAGAAGUUUGAGGAGUUUCUAUGCUUGGCAAGAUGCCUUGAAGAAGCUGUUAUUGGUCUACCUGAAUUUUCAUUCUUCUUUGAAACCUGGGUAACCAUCCAUGAGUCACAGGAAAUCCACAAUGAGUUGUGGGAAACACAUUUCUUAGGUAGCAGGAGAGAAGGGGACCUAGACUACACCUCAAUAAAUCAG